rnacentral:rRNA from 1 species
CACCGCCGCGGUAACACCAGCACCUCGAGUGGUCAGGAGGUUUAUUGGGCCUAAAGCAUCCGUAGCCGGUUGCAUAAGUUUUCGGUUAAAUCUAUGCGCUUAACGUAUAGGCCGCCGAAAAUACUGUGCAGCUAGGGAGUGGGAGAGGUACACGGUACUCGAUAGGAAGGGGUAAAAUCCUUUGAUCUAUUGAUGACCACCUGUGGCGAAGGCGGUGUACCAGAACACGUUCGACGGUGAGGGAUGAAAGCUGGGGGAGCAAACCGGAUUAGAUACCCCUGUAGUCCCUGUCUCUUAUACA